UUCUUAGUUUAUCGGGCUGCCCUAUCCAUUACGAAUAACUACAAACCACCAUGUAUAUGAACAAAAUAUAUUAGAUAUCCAUAUUAUUUAUGUGAUGAACCUCAGCAAGCUCAAUACAAUAAUUAUGUGCCUAUAUUGCUAUUUACAACAAUGUAUAAGAAAAAUAACAAGAUACAGACUGCUUUUACAACAUGUCAGAAUAAAUUGAUAAGUUCCUCUUUUUCUUCUUUUGCUUGCUAGUCUACCAAGAGCUCUUAAUCAUAUGAAACUUUUCUUAAAAAAUGACUUCAAUUAAUCAUAUUUCCAGUUAAUUUCCCUUCACUGGCUGAGUUGUGAGGCCAAAUCCAAAGGGGAACAGAGGAUCAUAGUGUGGAUCGCCAACGUUCAUCGGAAGCUGAUCGACUCUCUUGAACCAAGUACGCGCGAGUUUUCCGGUGAAUCCAUAGUCACCAAACAAAACAUCAGCAACACCUUGUCCUUCUGUCCCUGGAAGCCAU
rnacentral:lncRNA from 1 species